AUUGAACGCUGGCGGCAUGCCUUACACAUGCAAGUCGAACGGUAACAGGUCUUCGGAUGCUGACGAGUGGCGAACGGGUGAGUAAUACAUCGGAACGUGCCUAGUAGUGGGGGAUAACUACUCGAAAGAGUGGCUAAUACCGCAUGAGAUCUACGGAUGAAAGCAGGGGAUCGCAAGACCUUGUGCUACUAGAGCGGCCGAUGGCAGAUUAGGUAGGUGGUGGGAUAAAAGCUUACCAAGCCGACGAUAUGUAGCUGGUCUGAGAGGACGAUCAGCCACACUGGGACUGAGAAGCGGCCCAGACUCCUACGGGAGGCAGCAAUGGGGAAUUUUGGACAAUGGGCGCAAGCCUGAUCCAGCAAUGCCGCGUGCAGGAUGAAGGCCUUCGGGUUGUAAACUGCUUUUGUACGGAACGAAAAGCCCCGGGUUAAUACCCUGGGGUCAUGACGGUACCGUAAGAAUAAGCACCGGCUAACUACGUGCCAGCCGCCGCCGUAA
rnacentral:rRNA from 1 species